rnacentral:tRNA from 1 species
AGCCCCGUGGUGUAGUGGUCAAGCAUCCAGCCCUUUGGAGGCUGGGACGGCAGUUCGAAUCUGCCCGGGGCUA